rnacentral:rRNA from 1 species
AUGCGGGACGGCAGUGUGCUGGAGCGUAUACUUAACAGAGACGAGGAGCCCAAGGAUCUGCCAUUAGCACUCUUACAGGACAUUACCAAUGAUUUCUCUGAAGAGAACAAAAUCGGUCAGGGUGGAUUUGGAGAGGUCUACAAGGGCGUACUCCGCAACGGGGCUCUUGUUGCUGUGAAGAGGAUCCAUAUAAAUGUAAACACAGUUGAUGACAAGCUUUUUCGCCGUGAGUUUAGUAGCCUCUGGAAGGCUAAUAAUCAUCAAAAUGUAGUCCGGUUUCUUGGCUUCUGCUCUAAUAUGUACCAGACGAGAAUAGCGGAGGCUGGGUCCGAUGAAUUUAGAUUGGUCAACGUAAGAGAAAGAUUGCUCUGUUUCGAGUACAUCAGCAAUGGAAGCCUUGAUAAGCAUAUUACUGAUGAACUAAGGGGACUUGAAUGGGAAAAACGCUAUGACAUAAUCACCGGAAUUUGCAAUGGUCUGCGUCAUCUCGAGGAGAAAGAAAUUAUUCAUAUGGACCUUAAACCGGCUAACAUAUUACUAGAUGAUCAUAUGGUUCCAACAAUUACCGAUUUUGGUUUGUCAAGACCAAAUGAAAAUUCACAUACUAUGGGUCCACGUUUUGGAACACGAGGAUAUGUCGCUCCGGAAUAUGACAACGCUGGCAAAACUUCUGUCAAGUCUGACAUAUAUAGUUUUGGUGCCAUAAUCAUUGAAUUAGUAACAGGGUUUAUGGGCAUCCCUGAUAAAAACAGUGUACUUCGAAGGUGGAGACACAGGUGGAGUAAGCCACCGACGUUGCUACAAUACCAGCAACUAACUAGAUGCAUGGAAAUAGCAGUACGCUGCAGGCAACAAGAACCGGAAGCUAGACCUUCCAUAAUGGAUAUAAUUAACUAUCUGAGUAAAUCUGAAAGUACGGAUGUGCACACUGGCCAGCAAAGCACUUAUAUGGAUGAUGACAUGUUUGGUAUUGAACCGCUCGAGCUACAUUUUACAUUGGAUGAUAACAAGGAGAUGUCAUGCUCAGUUAAGCUAACCAACAGGACAACGUCCUGUUUUGCCUACAACAUUGAAAGGCCAAGCCAGCAGUACACGACACGGCCAGGGAAAGGCAUUGUGCCACCAGGAUGCGACGAGUAUCUUGUUCAAAUAAUAGUGCAGCGACAGGAUAGGGCACUACAAGCUACACAGAAUGGUGACAAGUUCAUCAUCCAGAGCACAAAAGUGAGCAAUCUUAGAGAUGAGGAUAUCACUGAACAUAUAUUCCAUGAAGAGGCCGGUAAAAUGGUUGAUGAGGUGAAUUUGAUGGUUGAAUAUGAGCCUAUUAGUGGACGAGACCCCAGUGUGCCAGUCGAGGCAGUCUCCCCCAUGAUACUUCAUAGUAAUUGA